UGAAAGGAACAAGACUUUCGAAGUAGCAGAUGACUCCCCAAACCUCAUUUUCUCUCUCAUGUCGAAAACCCUUCUCUCCCGCAUUAAACCUCGUCACAACCCCAAACCCAGUUCUUCCCCUUCCUUCUCCUUCAAACCCUUGAUCAAGCGACUCGUCAACGAACUCUGUGACAUCCUCAAAACCCACCACCACAAUCAAUGGCAAGACACCCUCGAAACCCACCUCUCCGAAGAAGAAAUCGUCCCAUCUGACAUUGCCCAUUUGGUGCUCGACCGUAUUCGCGACCCCGAAUUGGGUUUGAAGUUCUUUGAUUGGGUCACUCAACGCCCAUACGGUUGUUCUCUUGAUGGGUUUGCUUAUUCUUCUCUUCUUAAGCUCUUGGCCAGCUCUAGAGUGUUUUCAGAGAUUGAGACUGUGUUGGAGAGUAUGAAAGUUGAAGACAAGUUACCGACUCGGGAAGCUUUGGAUGCUAUAAUUCGAGCGUAUUCGGAUUCUGGGAAGUCCUGAAACAGGGGAAAAUCAGUAAACCUGUGGUUGCUUGGGUCAGUGGAACUUGUGCACGUCUCUUUAAGUCAGAAGUACAAUUUGGUCAUGCGGGAGCCAAAAGUGGUGGUGAGAUGGAGUCUGCACAAGCCAAGAAUCAAGCACUUCACGAUGCUGGAGCUGUUGUCCCAACUUCAUUUGAAGCAUUUGAAACUGUGAUUAAAGAAACAUUUGAGAAGCUGGUUGAGGGGGGCAAUGUUACUCCUACAAAGGAAGUUUAAGCCUCCACAAAUCCCUGAGGAUCUUAAUACUGCUAUUAAGAGUGGAAAAGUCCGAGCUCCAACUCAUAUUAUAUCCACCAUAUCUGAUGACAGAGGAUACCGGGAGGACAGCAGUUCUGAAUUUCUGCUUCAAACUGGAAAUAAACUCUGCUAAAUCUGUCUUUUGGAGGAGCUCAUUGAGAAUAAGCUUGAUGGGUUUAUCAUCCCUCUGUUACAAGGGAAUAUCCUGAAGCUUUUCAAUGCUUAUUUUGUGUGUGUGUGUGUGCGCGUGUGUUUAUGCAUGAGCACAUGCGUGCGUGUUAAAGGUAACUAUGGAUGCAAGAGUAGUUUCUUAUUUAUGGUGUUUUCACUUAACCAAGGCAUAAGCUAUCAGACUGGACAACUCAAGCUGAAAAUUCACCAGCCAUAAUUACUUUAAUUUCAAGGAGGUGUACACGGCGCUUAGGGACCCGAAUGUGGAGAAGAGGGGCUAACCUUGAAGGUUCUAUGUCUUCAUUUUUACAGAUUCAAGGUUCAAUUCCACUCCUUUGGGAGCAAAUUGUUGAUUUGAGCUAUAAACCACGACUUAAUAUUAUUGAUCAUGAGCAAACAUCAAAGGUUGUGGAGCGCCAUUUUCAUGAUAUUAUAGAAAGAUACGGAGAGACCGUAAAAGUUGACCUAACCGAUAAGGUAAGACUUUCCAGCACCACACUAGGACAUUAACCUGGGGCGUAGUUUCAAUAUGAUUUCCUUACUGGAAGUGGAGAAAUCCAGCAUGGCGAUGAGGGUCAACUGAGUAUGGCAUAUGCUACUGAAAUGGAAAAGCUGCCAAAUGUGAG